rnacentral:rRNA from 1 species
GUCUACGGCCAUACCACCCUGAAUACACCUGAUCUCAUCUGAUCUCAGAAGCUAAGCAGGGAGGGCCUGAUUAGUACUUGGUUGGGAGAUUGUAGGUAUUUUUUAAAAAAAUCAAGGGGCUGGAGAAA